UGGGGAAUAUUGCACAAUGGGCGCAAGCCUGAUGCAGCCAUGCCGCGUGUGUGAAGAAGGCCUUCGGGUUGUAAAGCACUUUCAGCGGGGAGGAAGGCGAUAAGGUUAAUAACCUUGUCGAUUGACGUUACCCGCAGAAGAAGCACCGGCUAACUCCGUGCCAGCAGCCGCGGUAAUACGGAGGGUGCAAGCGUUAAUCGGAAUUACUGGGCGUAAAGCGCACGCAGGCGGUCUGUCAAGUCGGAUGUGAAAUCCCCGGGCUCAACCUGGGAACUGCAUUCGAAACUGGGAGGCUAGAGUCUUGUAGAGGGGGGUGGAAUUCCAGGUGUGGCGGUGAAAUGCGUAGAGAUCUGGGGGAAUACCGGUGGCGAAGGCGGCCCCCUGGACAAAGACUGACGCUCAGGUGCGAAAGCGUGGGGAGCAAACAGG
rnacentral:rRNA from 1 species